rnacentral:rRNA from 1 species
GAUGAACGCUGGCGGCGUGCUUAACACAUGCAAGUCGAGCGGUAAGGCCCUUUCGGGGGUACACGAGCGGCGAACGGGUGAAUAACACGUGGGUGACCUGCCCUCAGCUCUGGGAUAAGCCCGGGAAACUGGGUCUAAUACCGGAUAGGACACAUCGGCGCAUGUUGGUGUGUGGAAAGAUUCGGUUCGGCUGGGGAUGGGCCCGCGGCCUAUCAGCCUGUUGGUGGGGGGAUGGCCUACCAAGGCGGUGACGGGUAGCCGGCCUGAGAGGGGGACCGGCCACACUGGGACUGGGACACGGCCCAGACUCCUACGGGAGGCAGCAGUGGGGAAUAUUGCGCCAUGGGCGGAAGCCUGACUCAGCGACGCCGCGUGGGGGAUGACGGCCUUCGGGUUGUUAACCUCUUUCGCCAGAGACGAAGCUUUUGUGACGGUACCUGGAUAAGAAGCACCGGCCAACUACGUGCCAGCAGCCACAGUAAGAC